rnacentral:snRNA from 1 species
CGCUAAUUCCUCGCAAAA